rnacentral:lncRNA from 1 species
GAUAGAGAUAAUUGUUAGCAGCAAGAAUGUUCAGUAAAUUAAGAUCUACAAACACAUCACCAUCACCAAAACACAAUUUUGUCAUGAAUCCAUCUGUGUCCUUUGUUUAAUAUACACAUAGACCAAGGUGAGCUACACAGGCUCUUUAGAGCCUCUAGUUUGUUAUUGACACUGAUUAACAUCAACCGUAUUCAUAGCAAGCC